GCCCUUUCAAAAUGGGCAAAAAUGCUUAUAUUCAGGGUGCCGGCUUGUCCGGCUAUGGCGCUAAACGCUUUACGAAAUAGACGUAGCGGACCCGGGGGCGGUACCCGGCGCCUCCACCACAAGCGCAUCGGGGCUCGAAUCAGCUUACGGAUUUGGGCCCGAAUAAGGCAGGUGCAUUUGUGAUGGGGGCGAAAUAGGAUCGACGCGCGUGAUAAAGGUAAAGUUUGCGUUCGGUAUGGCUCCACCGUUAUCGGGCCAUUUCUACAAGUGCCAAUGAUAAUGAAAUGGUACUCGCUGCCUAAUUAACAGGCAAGCGCGGUUCGGGGGGCACCGGGCAACAGAAGCCCCCCACU
rnacentral:tmRNA from 1 species